CCAAACUGGUUUUUGCUUCACACCAACUCUAUAGAACAUGAAAUUUGUUUAUAGCUUUUUGAGAAAAGGGACAACGGUGGGCAAUUAAGGACCAUGACAUCGCCUGGCAAGCUGCUUUAUACAUUCAGGAACACAAAUGUGGGAGGUGGGGGUGCCAAAGCCCCAGAUACAUGGUAGCGUUCCCUCUCACAGGAAAUCACCAAGUGGAAGAGGGAUUUGCCAUAUUUGGCUGAAAGAACGAAACGCCGCCGCGUGAUAUUGAGCUUCGGCGACGCCGCGUCCACCCCAGGGGCCCAGAUCAGCCAUGACAAGGUUACACGACUUACGACGACCUCCAGUACCUCCACUUAAUCAGCAGGCCUGCCACACUCGGAAGCCCUGCGGAAGCGAGCUUCACCGGCACCAGUGCAGAAGGGGCUGGGCCCCCUCACCCACGUCCCCACAGGAGGUGGCAGCUCUGGAGCAAGACAGAGUUUCUGGCAGGAAAAGUUAACAGGCUAGCAUGGGGCUAAUUACCAGCAGGGACCAAAGGGAUUAUGGGUUGACCAAAGAGAGUGGCACUGCCAAAGAUGAUAUCUCCUUCUUUCAA